rnacentral:rRNA from 1 species
CAGUAGCCGCGGGAAAACGUAGGUGGCAAGCGUUGUCCGGAAUUAUUGGGCGUAAAGGGCUCGCAGGCGGUUUCUUAAGUCUGAUGUGAAAGCCCCCGGCUCAACCGGGGAGGGUCAUUGGAAACUGGGAAACUUGAGUGCAGAAGAGGAGAGUGGAAUUCCACGUGUAGCGGUGAAAUGCGUAGAGAUGUGGAGGAACACCAGUGGCGAAGGCGACUCUCUGGUCUGUAACUGACGCUGAGGAGCGAAAGCGUGGGGAGCGAACAGGAUUAGAUACCCGAGUAGUCCCUGUCUCUUAUAA